CUAUACUAUGUUUCUAAUCUAUAAAAAAAAACGUGUCUUUUAAGAAAAAGAUUAACUCACAACAAAUAAGAAAUAAGAACAACUGUAACAUAAACAAAUUUGGGUAUUUUUGAAAUGCAUUGCCAAAGGCGUGGUCUCUGUCUCUGUCUCUGUCUCUGCAUUAUAAGGGUGGACCAUCACUAUCACUUCAAAUGGCAAAUAACAGGCUACACAGAGUACUGAAAAAAGAAAAAGCAACCGUCUCUAUGAAAAAGGAAAGAAUGACAGCGAAACACUGAUCCAACAAAGAUAAACAAGAGCAUUGAAAAACUCACAAGUGAUGGAGUUUCUAACUGUGGCCACUUCAUCUAUAUCUUCGUGUCCUUAUGCAGAGAAAGUGAAGGACUCAAUUGGUCCAAGCAUUCACGAUUGUUUGCUCAAUCAACUAAGUACAAAUUCAAGGACAGUUGAAAAUGUUGAAGAAAGACAUUAAGAUUGAGAAGGUUUAAAUAACUGUUAUCAUUGAAUUAGUUAGUUACAUCAGUUUGGAACCUCCUAAUUUUGUUGCUAAUGAUGUUCAUUUUCAUCUAAUUAGUUAAACUAUCUUCUAUUUUUGGUAUUUUGUCUUGUCUACAGAAAACAUAUUUUAUUUUUAAGUUUCAAUGUUGCUUUCUUUUGAAUAGUAUAAUAGAAUUGCA